CUACGGGCCGCUGCAGUGGGGAAUAUUGGACAAUGGGCGAAAGCCUGAUCCAGCCACGCCGCGUGUGUGAUGAAGGUCUUCGGAUCGUAAAGCACUGUGGGGGGGGACGAACAAGUUGGUGGAAUAAUACCCACCAGCCCUGACGGUACCUCCUUAGCAAGCACCGGCUAACUCCGUGCCAGCAGCCGCGGUAAUACGGAGGGUGCAAACGUUGCUCGGAAUCAUUGGGCGUAAAGCGCGUGUAGGCGGCAAGUUAAGUCGGAUGUGAAAGCCCUGGGCUUAACCCAGGAAGUGCGUCCGAUACUGGCUCGCUGGAGUACGGGAGAGGGUUGCGGAAUUCCCGGUGUAGAGGUGAAAUUCGUAGAGAUCGGGAGGAACACCUGUGGCGAAGGCGGCAACCUGGACCGAUACUGACGCUGAGACGCGAAAGCGUGGGUAGCAAACAGGAUUAGAUACCCUCGUAGUC
rnacentral:rRNA from 1 species